AGAGGAAUAUUGGUCAAUGGGCGCAAGCCUGAACCAGCCAUCCCGCGUGCAGGAAGACGGCGCUAUGCGUUGUAAACUGCUUUUCCAGGGAGAGAAACUUGCGCACGUGUUGCGCAAUUGACGGUACCCUGGGAAUAAGCAUCGGCUAACUCCGUGCCAGCAGCCGCGGUAAUACGGAGGAUGCGAGCGUUAUCCGGAUUCAUUGGGUUUAAAGGGUGCGUAGGCGGACUAUUAAGUCAGUGGUGAAAUCCUGCAGCUUAACUGCAGAACUGCCAUUGAUACUGAUAGCCUUGAGUUUGGUUAAGGUAGGCGGAAUGUGUAAUGUAGCGGUGAAAUGCUUAGAUAUUACACAGAACACCAAUGGCGGAGGCAGCUUACUGAGCCGACACUGACGCUGAGGCACGAAAGCGUGGGGAUCGAACAG
rnacentral:rRNA from 1 species